rnacentral:rRNA from 1 species
AUUGAACGCUGGCGGCAUGCUUUACACAUGCAAGUCGAACGGUAACAGGCCGCAAGGUGCUGACGAGUGGCGAACGGGUGAGUAAUGCAUCGGAACGUGCCCAGUCGUGGGGGAUAACUACUCGAAAGAGUAGAUAAUACCGCAUACGAUCUAUGGAUGAAAGCGGGGGACCGUAAGGCCUCGCGCGAUUGGAGCGGCCGAUGUCAGAUUAGGUAGUUGGUGGGGUAAGGUGCCACCAUGACAACGAUUUUUACUGGUUUGCAGAGACCGACGGGCGACAUUGGGACGGGGGCACGGCCCAGGCUCCUGAGGGAGGCAGCAGUGGGGAAUUUUGGACAAAGGUCGCAAGCCUGCUCCAGCAAUGCCGCGUGCAGUAAAAAGGCCUUGGGGUUGUAAUCUGCUUUUGUAGGGAACAAACCGGUUCUGGUUAUUACCCGGGGCUAAUGACGGUACCGAAAAAAUAAGCACCGGCUAACUACGUG